rnacentral:rRNA from 1 species
UACGUAGGGGGGCAAGCGUUGUCCGGAAUCAUUGGGCGUAAAGCGCGUGUAGGCGGCCCGGUAAGUCCGCUGUGAAAGUCGGGGGCUCAACCCUCGAAUGCCGGUGGAUACUGUCGGGCUAGAGUGCGGUAGAGGUAGCUGGAAUUCCCGGUGUAGCGGUGAAAUGCGUAGAUAUCGGGAGGAAUACCUAUGGCGAAAGCAGGCUACUGGACCGUCACUGACUCUGAUCUGCGAAAGCUAGGGGAGCAAACAGG